rnacentral:rRNA from 1 species
UACGUAGGGUGCGAGCGUUGCCCGGAAUUAUUGGGCGUAAAGAGCUCGUAGGCGGUUUGUUGCGUUGGCUGUGAAAUCCCGAGGCUCAACCUCGGGUCUGCAGUCGAUACGAGCAAACUAGAGUGUUGCAGGGGAGACUGGAAUUCCUGGUGUAGCGGUGAAAUGCGCAGAUAUCAGGAGGAACACCGGUGGCGAAGGCGGGUCUCUGGGCAACAACUGACGCUGAGGAGCGAAAGCGUGGGGAGCGAACAGG